UUUAUUGAAUUAUAUUCCAAAAUAGAUUAGUUAUAAGACAGUUUCAAAGAAGGAUGAUUAAUGUUAUCAAAUAGUCACCUAUUACACUUAUGAAUAUAUAUGAAUAUAAUCUAAAUCUACAAAUCAUUGAUACAACAAUAUUAUAAACUAAGAAAAUGGCAAACUAGUAUACUAAAAACGCGAGUAAUUUAAUUAUCAUCAGAAAAACUCAUUGUGUCUUGCAGCACUCAUGAUUGAAACCAAUAUUUUUUUCCGUCUACUCAGUGAGUACACACAACCAUGUUAUUAUUCAUUUAGUCAAAAUAAUAAUAUUCAUAAUAAUAUCAUAAUUAUAAUAAUAAUAAUAAUAAUAAUAAUGAUAAAAAAAAGUAAAAACGUAAAAACACAAAUUUCUUUUUAGACACAAAAAGUUUUCUUAUACAAUACAAACUACAAUAUCCACGAGUAUAUUGACUAUAGAAUAGUAAAAUAAUUAAUUUUAAAAGUGCAAUAUUAUAAUAGUUUUUCAAGUAAUAAGUAUUUAAUAUUCGUGCGAGUACUAAUUAAUAUAAUAAAUUAUUGUAUUAUAUAUAGUUGUAGUAGAUAAUGUAAAAACAAAAAUUACAAAAAAAAAAAAACAACAUAAUUGUAUAUGUACAAUGUACACCGAUCGUUAGUUGGUAUAGUGGAACUGUUGAUGAAAUGUCUUUUCAUAUUACUCUACAGUAUCAUUCGUGUUAUUACAUGAAAAAAUUAUGACUGGCAACCGCAUCAAGAACUAGAAAUAUUUAAUUUAUCCGUUAAACCUUACGUUCGGAGAAGUCGUCUGCCUCGAAACUGGAUGUUGUUUAAAAAAAAAAAAGUAUAAAUAUUUUUAUACAGCAGACGACGAUACAAAUAUAAUAUUAUGUGCAGCUGAAUCAUGGUCAAAUACGUAAAAUCAGUACGGAGUACUGUUACCCUAUAAUUUGAUCCUGGGACUUUUGCUCGAAUAUUAAAACUUGUGGGGGCAAUCGGUUAUUUUUCAUCUGCAGUGGGAAGGCCGAAAUGUUUACUGUGCAUGUCGAUUGUAUACGAAACGGUGUAUGAAAUAUUCAUAAUAUUAUCAAUAAUAUCAUCUCGAGCAGUGUUUUCGAUCAAUAAUAUUGCAGCUAUAAUAAUUUAAUAGUAGUUGUAUAGUUUCUCUGGCGCAGCGAACAAAUGAGCGAGAUUCGAGUAAAUAAGAACAUUCCUUUUUUUCUCCAUACAACCUGUCCUGGCUGUAAACGGGUGAGUUAACAAUAUGAUUACUGCUUAGAAGUUUUAAAAGGAAAAAAAAAUGAGUGCAGUAUAUUACAUUCGUAUACAUAAUAUCAUUAUAAUAAAAUUCAACUUCGCAACUCAGAACUUUUAUAUUACAGGUAUAUGACGUACAACGGUGCGGACGUCUGACGAUGUUAUUUUAUUUUUAAAGUCUAAUCGCAUUUGUGUAUUUUUCCGAGAGCGCAUUAUCGUUAGGCGACGGGGGUCGAACAAAAAACAAAGGCGAAGAAAACCGGGAAAAUGUGCAUUUCCAAUCCCCGGACGGUGGUGCCGGAGGUCGGCCAGUGACCCGGAGCAGCUGAAUACCGAUACCGCUAUACCGUGUUUUUGGUACACAGGUGUGAAUUCGGAUUUCCCGUGAAAAACACAGAGAGAUCUUUUCCACUGGGUGGGUUGACGGGUGGGUCGCGGGCGCGGGUGGUCUUGGCGGAAAGACGAGAAAACAAGGUCGAGGAGUAUAGUAAUAUUAUUAUCUAGAAAAAGCAUACCCACUCGUAUGUACCUAUUCGGUACCUACCCGUUUUUGUAGGACGAAUCGAAUUCGAAGUCUCUACGAAAAGCCUUUUGCAUAGAUUGCGGCGGGCGGGCGGUGGACGUUCGGAGAAUUUCUUGUUAUUCGGUUUCUUUUUCGAUUCUUCGAUUUCUUUCCUCGAAUCGUCGUCCUGCAUUGGUCCUCACGAAAUCAUUCGAAAUAAUACUUGAUAUCUGGACUCUUGCGGAUCUCAGGCCACAUGCAUGGGGCGUCAACGGGUGGCAGAACACGUUUGGGGAAUGGUGUGCUCGGGAAGAGUGGGACUACGCUUGUAGUGUGGAAGUUUCGUGCAAUAAUAUUAUGCACAAGGUACGAGACGUUUAUCUAUACUUUGUGGUAAUAUACGACUCUCGGUUAUAACUCUAUACAUGCAACAACGGCGAAUAAAUUAUAAAGACGUUAUUUCCGGCGAGUAGGAGGUAUAAUAAUAAUAUGCGAUUAGGUAGGUUGGUAGGUAGAAUUCGAGGAGCGGUAGGCUGGUGGUAGGUACCACGGUUGUUGUCGAGUCACCGCAGUCCGUCGUGUUGCUUUUGUGUGUAGUACGUGUGCGUUUGUUUUUUUUUUAACCACUCUUUCUCUUUCUUUUACGGUUUUCUUUUUCGUACCCCUUUUUUUUAUUUUACUUUCACGCUCAAUCCUCCCGUCCUGACGCUAUUUAUUUAUUUAUUUAUUUGUUACGAUUAUUACUAUGAAUAUUAUUAUUUUUUUUUUUUGUUCGGAAAGGGGGGCAAUCUUUUCUUCUCGUCUAUUCCGAACACAGCUUCACCUUUCUUCAUUUCCCGCCCGACCAUUGUGCGCGCAAAUAAUUUAAAACCCUGGCAGACAGUGACAAUGGAAUUUUCCUACGGCAGUGCCCCUCCACUGCUACGAAAAAUGUGAAACAAAGUUAGGUAUUUCUCCAACAAUAUCAUUCAUAAGUAUGAUAAUAUUAUUACUAUUAUUAUUAUUAUAGUUAUUUAUUUCUUUUUUUCCCGUUAUUUUGUUGCUCGUGAGUUGUGAGCUUUUUAUGACGUCAAAGGUAAAGUGAAUUAAGAAAACAAAAAGAAUAUUAACUUGUACAUGGCGUUACAGUAAAUCGUAUACAGUAAAAAAACUAAACAAUAAGUAUGAAGAAAGGUCAGUAUUAAAAUAAAAACGUACAAAGUUUAAACGUGUUACCGUUCGCCAUCAAUAAUUUCAAUAUAUAUUCGAAACGUUGAUAAUUGCGAAUAAUAUACUAAAAGAUAAAAAUAUUAUUUAAAACAAAAAAAAAAUGUUCAAUAGUUUUGAAUGUGAUCACGUGUACUCGGUGAGCAUAGUUUUAUACACAUUUAGUAAAUAUAUCAAUUUUAUUGUUAAACCGGAGGAGUUACAAAUUGUUCAAACAAACUACUCGCAUAGGUAGGUAGUAAUUUAUGAGACAAUAUUAUUACAUUUUCGUUAUUUUAUUGCAGUAGAACAAUAAUUUUAGGGUAUCGUUUACGAGCAGAAAACUAAUCUGGUUGUCGGGCUUUGUACGUCAUUUACCACCUGAUAAAUUUAUAUUAUUAUCCAAAAUAAAUACAUUCGUGACGGGAUAAAUAGUAUAAUGUUGACUGACUGUGUACGGUUUAGAACUAGAACAAAUAGACGGUACUUCGUUUAGUGUUAUUUGGUACGUCAUACCUACGACAUUACGAUAAGUGUGUUGUUAGUAUAGUUUGCUGGAAAUAGGGACACGAAACCGAUCAAAUUUGUGCUACUUAAUUUGUUUUAAUAUAACCCCACGAUUCUGUAUUGGCCGUUAUUUUUUCUUUUUAAUUACCACCAAUAAACAUGAUCAACAAUAUGCGCAAAUUAUUCCUUAAACAUCAUGUCGUUACUGCGGUUAAGUCCAAGAAUCCCGUAAACCGGGCACUUACAUAACAACAUUUAACAACAGCAGUAUUCGGGUCGGAAACAUCAUAAUAUUUUGGUUUGAAUUCUAAAAAAAACAACCAAUCGGAGUACCAUUUUGUGAUCCACCGGAGAUGUCGAUGACGAAAAGUUUUCUUUUACAUUUUUUUUUUUCAAAAUUCCUUAUUUGGAUAAACAAUCUUAAACAUUACAUAUAACAUAUAGAAGUAAGCGUAAAUUUUAUGGUAAUACAACGAAUCAGCUGUUAACAAUGUUCCCGAUAUAAAACAUAAACAACCAACAAUAUGAUUACAAUAGUUCUUACGAUAAUAGUAAUUUACUACUAUGCUGUAAUAAUAUACUCGAUAAAUAAUAAUGUUUAUAUCAUAUAAUAAUAAAAUAAAAAGGGUAUAGUAUUUUUAAUAAUAUUAAUAAUAAUAAUAAUAUAUUGUGUGUAAAUAAUUAGUAUUAGGUACUAUUUAAUAAUUUAACCGUUUAUAAAUAAUACCUAAAUGAAAUGAUUGGCUUAACCCGCAUUAGUAGCAACCAGACCAAAUACAAUAUGUAUGUAAUUAUUAAAAAUACGUGAGUAUUGGGUAGUUCGAACGAUAAUAAUAAUAAUUAUUAAAAGUAAUGAAAGUGUGAUAAAUUUUCAAUAAACCCCGGUAAAAAAAAAAUAUAUGUCAAAUCGAGCAUGGUCGUUUUUGACUUACACAAGACAUACAAACUCGAGUUUUAGUUUUUCAUUCUGGAUAAUAUAUUAUUAAUAUAUUAAAACACUUAACUGAAUAAAAGUCAACGGAAUUCACAGAGGUUUUGAAUUUCGAUUUAUGUCGAAAUGAUUAAUGUUAUCGUGAUGACUGGGAAAAACUCUAAACACGACUAAAGAAUAAAUACGCUUAAUUGUCAACGGACAAUGACGAUAUCUAAUGCUAUUGUUUUCUCAAACUGAUUUUGAAUAACUGACUUAUCCCCUACCGGAAAAUUGUAUACUACGAACUACCUAAAUAAUAUUAAUUUAUAAUAUAUACUAGCACGGAGACUAAAGUGAAUAGUUGCGUGUCCGAUAUACUAUGGCUAAAGUUCUGAUAGUUCAAUAUCAAUUUUUUCCUUUAAGUUUUUACUUGCUGGAAUAUGAAAUUGUUUUUAGGAUUCAAUAUUAAAACGUUACUAUCUAACCUCCUGUUUAUUACUACAUUAUUCAUAUUAUGUCUAGCUGCGUAUGGCUUUUUUUCCCCACAUCGGUUUUUGAUGUAAUUAAAUUUAAUAAUGAAUUAUUAUUUUUAUUAUUGUUA